CGCCCCUCCGGCCGCCAUGUCCACCCCUUCCCUCGGCGGUCGGGAGGGCUCCCAGUGCCUGCUGCGCUGCGGGACUGGCUUUCGCCUGAAGCAAAGCGGCCUGAUGGGGAAAAGACCCUCGUUGUGGGGCCGGGGGAGUGCGUGUACCCCUCUGUGUGCACUAUUUUUUUCCAAAACAUUUCAUGGCAGAGGGCUCUGGAAGCUUCAUUCCAGAGCACCACCAAGAGGCUUAAAGGAGGUCACAGAAUAA
rnacentral:lncRNA from 1 species